GACGAACGCUGGCGGCGUGCUUAACACAUGCAAGUCGAACGGAAAGGCCCUGCUUUUGUGGGGUGCUCGAGUGGCGAACGGGUGAGUAACACGUGAGUAACCUGCCCUUGACUUUGGGAUAACUUCAGGAAACUGGGGCUAAUACCGGAUAGGAGCUCCUGCUGCAUGGUGGGGGUUGGAAAGUUUCGGCGGUUGGGGAUGGACUCGCGGCUUAUCAGCUUGUUGGUGGGGUAGUGGCUUACCAAGGCUUUGACGGGUAGCCGGCCUGAGAGGGUGACCGGCGACAUGGGGACUGAGAUACGGCCCAGACUGCUACGGGAGGCAGCAGUGGGGAAUAUUACACAGUGGGCGGAAGCCUGAUGCAGAAACGCCGGGUGCGGGAUGACGGCCUUCGGGUUGUAAACAGCUUUCGCCUGUGACGAAGCGUGAGUGACGGUAAUGAGUAAAGAAGCACCGGCUAACUACGUG
rnacentral:rRNA from 1 species